GUACCGGUAACUAAUAAAUGAUAUAAAAAAAAAAAAUUGCAUUGUUUAGUUUAGCUCUCAAAAUAUCACAAAGCUUUUAUUAAAAAUGUAACUUAAUUAAUAUUAUUUUUUUAUGUUUGUAAUUCUAUAGAAAGUACUUCUGAUCACCUACAGUAAUGAAGAACAUUUAAUUCACUCUUCAAAUCAAAAAGCCAACCUGCUAAGAGCAAACUGGACAUCAUAAACUUUGUUGAGGUGAAGUUAUAGUUUCAUUUUAUAAAAUUCAUUUAGUAAGGCCUGAAUCCAAUUUAGUGUACAUAUACAUCUUCUUAGUUUUGAGCUUUCCUAUAUAGUUGAGAUAAGUUAAUAUGGGCUAACAUCUGCCGACUGAAUGUCUCUUGUUCCAUCCAUCAUACAUCCUUUUCAUAAAUGGCUACCGAUUAAAAAUCUUUUAUAAAAGGAAUAAAAAUUCCUUUGAAAUCUUAACAUGAGUACGAGGCUAGUUGGGCCAAUUUAUAUGACCUUAUAUGCACAUAAAAGAAUUUUUAAUCGGCAGCCAUUUAUGAAAAGGGUGUAUUGUAUUUCGCUCUGCAUGUCUAUAACCCCAGGGGAUAGCUUGUUAGUAAAAACAUAAGCCGUUAAUUCAUGAGGGUUGUGUAGUUGUUACCAAAACUAUUUUAAUUUGUGCUUUUUUCCUCAAAGGAAGGAGACACAGACUUGACUACCUGGCUACAAAUGAGGCCCGCUGACAUACUGUAUCAAAGCUGAUCAUGACAUGGAGCUACUGGCAACAUUCGAGAAUAGUGAAACCGUAAAAGACAUCGUUUACUUCCUGGCGUUGUUCUACUGUACCUGCUCGACGUAAGACUACCCAGCCACUCAUCCAGACUCAGCAGUCAAGACUACCCAGCCACUCAUCCAGACUCAGCAGUCAAGACUACCCAGCCACUCAUCCAGACUCAGCAGUCAAGACUACCCAGCCACUCAUCCAGACUCAGCAGUCUGACAUGGUAAAGGCUUUUCAAGAAAUUGAACAAUAUUGCUAUGUGUGAGAACUUUUACAUUUAUCUAUCAGUAAUUACUUUAAUAACCUAUUCAUGUAUAGCUGGUAAAUAUAUUAUUUUAAACAUUCUUAAUUGUUUUUAUAUUGUAGGAGGACAACAGCAAAAAAUCAUGCCAAGAUUAUUAUUCUAGUUCAAUAUUUUCAUUUAAGAAAAAUAUUCUUAAAAGCCAUGAACACCGGAUCGAACUAGAAUAAUUUUCUUAGCAGGAUUUCAAUUCAAG